UACGAAGGGUGCAAGCGUUACUCGGAAUUACUGGGCGUAAAGCGUGCGUAGGUGGUUUGUUAAGUCUGUUGUGAAAGCCCCGGGCUCAACCUGGGAAUGGCAAUGGAUACUGGCAAGCUAGAGUGCGGUAGAGGGUAGUGGAAUUCCCGGUGUAGCGGUGAAAUGCGUAGGAGAUCGGGAGGAACACCAGUGGCGAAGGCGGCUACCCUGGACCAGCACUGACACUGAGGCACGAAAGCGUGGGGAGCAAACAGG
rnacentral:rRNA from 1 species